AGAACGAACGCUGGCGGCAUGCCUAACACAUGCAAGUCGAACGAGACCUUCGGGUCUAGUGGCGCACGGGUGCGUAACGCGUGGGAAUCUGCCCUUAGGUACGGAAUAACUCAGGGAAACUUGUGCUAAUACCGUAUGAUGUCGAGAGACCAAAGAUUUAUCGCCUAGGGAUGAGCCCGCGUAGGAUUAGCUAGUUGGUGGGGUAAAGGCCUACCAAGGCUACGAUCCUUAGCUGGUCUGAGAGGAUGAUCAGCCACACUGGGACUGAGACACGGCCCAGACUCCUACGGGAGGCAGCAGUGGGGAAUAUUGGACAAUGGGCGAAAGCCUGAUCCAGCAAUGCCGCGUGAGUGAAGAAGGCCUUCGGGUUGUAAAGCUCUUUUACCCGGGAAGAUAAUGACUGUACCGGGAGAAUAAGCCCCGGCUAACUCCGCGCCAGCAGCCGC
rnacentral:rRNA from 1 species